GAUACCCUAUUAGAAUUAAUAAAAAUUUAGUAGUAAGUGUUAUUCGUGAAACUAAAAUUGAUUGGCGGCUCUAUAAAUUUAUUAGAGGAAUUUAUUCUUUAAAGGAUUAAACACCAAAAUCUUACUUUUAUUAGUCAAAAAAGUUUUGAUUCAGUUUGUAUACCUCUAUUUAGAAAUAUAAAAUAUAUUUUGCUAUAGUCUAGUUAGAAUAAUUUUAGGUAAAGGUGCAGCUAAUAUAAAAGAUUGAAAUAAAUUAUAUAAAUUAUUAUUUAACUGUGUUUUAUUGUAAUUAGUAAUAUUGGCGGGAAAAUUUAAAAGUAAAAUUAGCAAAUAAAGUUAUUUUGAAUGCCUAUUUAUUUGUGUACAUAUUGCCCGUCACUCUCUUAUUAGAGAUAAGUC
rnacentral:rRNA from 1 species